rnacentral:misc_RNA from 1 species
UGACUGUAUUCGCCCUGAGCGCCGGUCGAAGGGGGUGGGGGGACGAUGAGGUGGGCUGCCAGUGCCCCACUUUUGUCUACUUCCUUGCCCCCCCCCUCCUGUGCUUCAAAGCACAGACACAGACGGACCAAACAGCCUGCCACUCCACGCACAGCGACAAUGGGGCACGAACGCAGGCAGCGUCGUUGCGAUAGCUCUGCCGAAACGGUACACGCAUCUCUCGAGCGGGCUUCGUCGCGCAUUCGAGUCGCAUGGCGCUCUGAAAGAUCGCAGAGGUGAUGAGGUACACCAGAGCGUGCAGGAAAGGCUUUUUAGGCUUUCUUUGCCGUAUGGAAGAUGCCAAACACGACGGCCUUAUUUUUUUUGUUGUUCGGCCGCCUGUGAGUACCCCGCCAGCCCCGCUCACGGGAGGACUUCUCGGUGCGUCGCAUGCUCAGGGCCCAGCACCCUCCCCCUUCUAUUUCCUGCCAAUGCGGAACCACUUGUGGUGGUGACAUGGCCCGGGCACCCAAGCCGGAGGGAGGUCAGAGCGAUUCAUAGCAACUGAUAUCGGCGGCCAGGUCCUGGGUGGCGCUGCGUGAGAGCGAGCGGCGACGGUGAGCACACGCUUGCACUAUACCGAUGAAGGGCAGAGCAUCGGGGUGACGCGAACGCAUGCCACCCGACCCUCACGCUGCCUGCUGAUGUGGGGACCGGCGCGACGCCGAGAGGGACGCAGCAAGUGGCGACCGGCGUCGUGAGAGCUGCUGUGAGGCGACCUGAGGGGUGGGGGCGCGGUGGGACGGGCGGGUGGGUGGCGUUUGAGGCCGAGGCCGUGCUGAGAUGACUGGGUCGGCGCAUUGCUGUAACACGCGUGUGCCGACGGCUGCUUUUGCACCACGCGGAUGGGGCCUGCGACAGGCUGAGGGUGGAGUUGAAUGGAGCUUAAGUAGUGUUCUGUGGCGAAAUAGGCAUGUUGAAAACGAGAAACGAGCACCGUAAUUGUCUCGCUGAGCUCAUGCGCACCGAAGCCGCUUUAGCCUUCCGUGUUGUCUGUGCGUUAUCCCGCGUCUCGCUGCCCUUGUUCCUCUCAACAGCGGCCUUCGCCUCAGCUUCUUGCCGGAUUCUUUCUCGUGUCCUUUACACUGCGCGGCAGCGCGGCCGAAGCACACGCAGCACUGUGCGUUCUCCCCCCAUGGCUGCAUUCUUUGAGAAGAGGAGCCUUGCGGAAUCCGUGCAGGGCUGUCCGCGCCGCCUGCCAUUUUUUGCCAACUCGAUUCCAGUUUUCUUCGAAAUCUGCGUGACGUCGUCGCACCACUGCUCUCUGAACAUCUCCACACCCUCUCUUGUCAAACUCAG